rnacentral:lncRNA from 1 species
AAAAAAACACAGGCUUUCUCCUCCCAAAAAAAAAGAAGAGUUUUUUCUUCAACUCAAAACGGAACAAAAAAAACUUAAUGCCUUCUUUUUUUUUUCUUUUUUUUUCCUUAAACUCUUAUUUUCUAGUUAGUAAUCAUCAUCCUCCAUCAAAUUUUUUUUAUUUUUAUUUUUUUUGUUUUCUCAAUUAUUUGACAAUUUUUGUUAUUCUUUCAAUUUCAGGAAUUUCAACACCAAAAAUGCCACUCAAGAUCAAAUAUAUCACAUGUCGAUUGGUUAUAUAAGAAAAUAUAUAUUAUAAUACCAUGACAAUUAUUAACAAGAAGGUCCUUUCCCACAAAGCAGCAAGUUCAGUGCCCAAUACAUUCAAACGUCUGUAAAGCCCAACGCCACCGCGUCCGCAUUCGCAUUCACGUCCGCCUCUCUCUCCUUUCAAUCCAAAGCACGUCAGCAUCUCUUAUCUCUUCAAUCCCUUGUGCACCUAUGUAUUUUUUUUUUUUGGGGUCAACGAUCUGUGUUUGUUUUGAUGCUUUUAUUUUAGUUUUGGUUUCAUCUGUUUCUUCUGAUAUGGUAUUAAUAUUGCUUUUGCAUUUUAUUGGACGCAAUUUGAAUUGCCUGAGUCUAUCUACAUAGCUGAUUAGGGUUUGAUUUUGGUAUCUAGUGAGCGUAGAGUUGAAGAUACAAAAGAGAUCGAGAUAGGUCUACACGUUUUGAAAUCCAUGACAUUUGUAUCUUUUUGUAAUUUCUUAUUGUUGUUACUUGUUCUUCUCAAAAGCUUGAAUAACAUGACAUGUAGCAUAUAUUUAUUGAUAUACUAUUUUGGUGCAGAUAUUAUUUAUUUUAUACUGAUUUUGGUGCGGAUAUUUUUCUUAAUUCACAUGUAUUUAUUUAUUGAUUUAAUAUUUUGGUGCAAAAAAAUGAAAAAGGCAAAUCGGGUAAGGUAAAUAGGAUUCCUCAUUCAAAAAAGUAUCAUAACAGGUAAAUAGGACCUUGGGUUGGAGUCAGUCUUACAAACACAGUCGAAGAAUCAAAUCUCUCUCUCUCUCUCUCUCUCUCUCUCUCUCUCGUUGAAUUUAGGGUUUGAUAUAAUUGCAAAAUAUGUUUAUUUAGCUUGAUGAAUUAAACUACUGUCUUUCUUCGCAUUAGAUUGGGCUUUCAAUCAGUUAUGCAUGGGUUGUGCUAAAUAAUUAAUCACUUUGUUUCAGUCUCUCCAGGUGCUUAGUGGUUUCCAGCUUGCACAUGGAGGGGAGUGAUUAUAAAUCUCUGUUUGUAUUGGUGACAUCUUGUUCAAGUCGAUAUCAUGGUGAGAUAUAUGAAGUUAAAAUCCAAAAAGGAUCUGGACAAAUUAUGGGGGAAGGAGGAUGAGCAAUUGGAGAUAAUUAUGGCAAAGAUCAAGCCCCACUGCUUCCUGUAACUACCUUCUUCAACAAGAAGACUUACUCCAUCCCGAGCAGUUGUCUCUGUGAUGCUACAGACUUAUUUGGUGGCUCCAAGUUGUAUUUGUUGUUCAAAGAGGGCAUGCAAGCUAGUCCUCCCCGCUCUAUCAUGACACCGGACUCAUUGAAGGGACAUGUAUUCGACGUACAGAAUAAGUCAUUCUCUACCUUCCAGGGCCCCAGAGUACCCAAGCCACUUGGACAUGUGAUUUCUGCGUAUGACAAGUUAUAUCAUCUUGCAAUUCCUGUAACCUCUCUGCAUAAGCCAAAUAACCCAGAAUCAGUGUUUGAGC